GGAGCAUUGGUGGACGGCUCGUACGGUGGCACUGCUGAUCACCGUCGUGGUUGUCAUGCUUCCUCUGAGUCAGCUCCGACGUGUGGACUCCCUCAGGUUCACAUCUGCGGCAUCAGUACUUCUGGCAGUUGUGUUCGUGUUCAUCAGCACCGGCAUGGCCCUGUCGGCCCUCUUCCAAGGAAAGACCAAAACCCCCAGGCUCCUCCCUGACUUCACCAAACUCUCCUCCCCUUUCGA
rnacentral:misc_RNA from 1 species